UACGUAGGUGGCGAGCGUUGUCCGGAUUUACUGGGCGUAAAGGGCGUGCAGGCGGUCUGCUAAGUCUAGGGUGAAAGCUCCCGGCUCAACUGGGAGAGGUCCUUGGAUACUGACAGACUUGAGGGAGGCAGAGGAGAAUGGAAUUCCCGGUGUAGUGGUGAUAUGCGUAGAUAUCGGGAGGAACACCAGUGGCGAAGGCGGUUGCCUGGAGCUUUGCUGACGCUGAUGCGCGAAAGCGUGGGGGAGCGAUCCGG
rnacentral:rRNA from 1 species